AUUGAACGCUGGCGGCAUGCCUUACACAUGCAAGUCGAACGGUAACGGGCCUUCGGGUGCCGACGAGUGGCGAACGGGUGAGUAAUACAUCGGAACGUGCCCGAUCGUGGGGGAUAACGAGGCGAAAGCUUUGCUAAUACCGCAUACGAUCUACGGAUGAAAGCAGGGGACCGCAAGGCCUUGCGCAGACGGAGCGGCCGAUGGCAGAUUAGGUAGUUGGUGGGAUAAAAGCUUACCAAGCCGACGAUCUGUAGCUGGUCUGAGAGGAUGAUCAGCCACACUGGGACUGAGACACGGCCCAGACUCCUACGGGAGGCAGCAGUGGGGAAUUUUGGACAAUGGGCGCAAGCCUGAUCCAGCCAUGCCGCGUGCAGGAUGAAGGCCUUCGGGUUGUAAACUGCUUUUGUACGGAACGAAAAGCCUUCUUUUAAUACAGGAGGGUCAUGACGGUACCGUAAGAAUAAGCACCGGCUAACUACGUG
rnacentral:rRNA from 1 species